rnacentral:rRNA from 1 species
UACAGAGGUCCCAAGCGUUGUUCGGAUUCACUGGGCGUAAAGGGUGCGUAGGUGGUGAGGUAAGUCGGAUGUGAAAUCUCCAAGCUCAACUUGGAAACUGCAUUGGAAACUACCUUGCUAGAGGAUUUGAGGGGGGAUUGGAAUACUUGGUGUAGCAGUGAAAUGCGUAGAUAUCAAGUGGAACACCAGUGGCGAAGGCGGCUUCCUGGUCUGCGACUGACGCUGUGGCGCGAAAGCUAGGGGAGCAAACGGG